AUGAUGAUGAUGAUGGAGUUGCUCCCUCUGCCACUGCCGGUGGGUUUCAAUUUCAUGGGCUGCGUGCGGGCGGCGGCGCCGUUGGUGGCGGCGGCGGUGGCCUUGUACUUUUUUGUGGAGCAGCUGUCGUACCAACGCAAGAAGGGGGUCCUCCCAGGCCCCUCCUUGGUCCUGCCCUUCCUCGGCAGCAUCGUCCCCAUGAUCCGCGACCCCACCGGGUUCUGGGAGGUGCAGGCGGCGCGGGCGAGGGACUCCGGCGCCGGGCUGGCCGCCGACUUCCUGGUCGGCCGCUUCAUCCUCUUCGUCCGCGACUCGGAGCUGUCCCACCGCGUCUUCGCCAACGUCCGCCCCGACGCCUUCCACUUCGUCGGCCACCCCUUCGGCAAGAAGCUCUUCGGCGAGCACAACUUCAUCUACCUCUUCGGCGACGAGCACAAGGACCUGCGCCGCCGGAUGGCGCCCACCUUCACGCCGCGCGCCCUCUCCACCUACGCCGCCAUCCAGCAGCGCAUCGUCCUCGCCCACAUCCGCAGGCUGCUCGACCACACGUCUCCUACGACCCCGGUGCCCAUACGGGUUCCCUGCCGCGACAUGAACCUGGAGACCUCGCAGACGGUCUUCGUGGGGCCCUACCUCACCGAGGAGGCGAGGGCGAGGUUCGGCGAGGACUACGCCGUCUUCAAUGUGGGCGUCAUCGCGCUGCCCGUUGACCUGCCCGGCUUCGCGUUCCGGCGCGCGAGGCUGGCCGUGGGGCGGCUGGUGCGCACGCUCGCGGAGUGCGUCGGCCAGAGCAAGGCGCGCAUGCGCGCCGGCGGCGAGCCGGAGUGCCUAGUCGACUACUGGAUGCAGGGCCUGGUGAAGGAGAUGGACGAGGCCGCGGCGGCGGGGCGGCCGCUUCCCAAGCACACCGCGGACGAGGACCUCGGGGGCUACCUGUUCGACUUCCUCUUCGCGGCCCAGGACGCGUCCACCUCCUCGCUCUGCUGGGCCGUGGCCGCCCUGGGGUCCCACCCUGACGUGGUGGCCCGCAUGCGCGCCGAGGUGUCCGCGGUGUGGUCGCCCGAGUCAGGGGAGCCCAUCACGGCGGAGAAGUUCGUGCAGCUCAGGUACACCCACGCGGUGGCGCGCGAGGUGGUCCGGUACCGGCCACCGGCGACGCUGGUGCCGCACAUCGCCGCGGAGGCGUUCCAGCUGACGGAGUGGUACACGGUGCCCAAGGGCGCCAUCGUGUUCCCGUCGGUGUACGAGUCGUCGUUCCAGGGGUUCACGGAGGCGGAGGCGUUCGACCCGGACCGCUUCUUCUCGGAGGCGCGGCGGGAGGACGAGGCGUUCAAGCGCAACUUCCUGGCCUUCGGCGCCGGCGCGCACCAGUGCAUAGGCCAGCGCUACGCCCUCAACCACCUCGCCCUCUUCCUCGCGCUCUUCGUCUCCGUCGUCGACUUCAAGCGCCACACCACCCACGGCUGCGACGAGCCGGUCUACAUGCCCACCAUCGUGCCCAAGGACGACUGCACCGUCUACCUCCACCAGCGUUGCUCCUCCUUCUCCUUCUGA
rnacentral:rRNA from 1 species